rnacentral:rRNA from 1 species
GACGAAUGCUGGCGGCGUGCCUAAUACAUGCAAGUCGAACGCAGUGGGGACGGGUGAGUAACACGUGGGUAACCUCCCAUCAGAGGGGAUAACACUUGGAAACAGGUGCUAAACCGAUACUGAUGGAUGGACCCGCGGUGCAUUAGCUAGUUGGUGAGGGAACGGCUCACAAAGGCCACGAUGCAUAGCAGGCCUGAGGAGGUGAUCGCGCAACCGGGGAAUGACACGCGGCCCAGACUCCUACGUGAGGCAGCAGGAGGGAAUCUUCGGCAAUGGAGCAAAGUCUGACCGAGCAACGCCGCGUGAGGGAAGAAGGUUUUCGGAUCGUAAAACUCUGUUGUUAGAGAAGCGGUAUCUAACCAGAAAGCCACGGCUAACUACGUGCCAGCAGCCGCGGUAAUAC